rnacentral:lncRNA from 1 species
AUGGGCAAGCCUCGCCCUGGGAAAACCACCUUCCUGAUCAUGGUGUCUCCCCUGCCAGGUAAGUAUGACUUCCUCCCCCUCCGCCCCAACCCAGCCUCACACGCACCGCACUGUACACACACGGUCACUGGCCUCCCCGCACCCCAAAACCCUCCGCACCCACUCCCGUCUCAACCGUCCUCACCCCACACACGUCGUCCUCACACAAGCCGAGCCACAGCUCGGGCACUUCCACAGCCCGGGGAAUUCUACCGCCCGGUAGAAUUCUGCGGCGCCCACCGCGGCCUCAUUUCCAUAAGGCCACGCCCCGGUCAGGACGCAACGGCCCCGCCUCACUCCCCGCCCCUCCCCGCGUCACCCGGCUCCACGCGCACGCCGUCUCCCUGCCCCCAGCUCCGCUCCCGCCGGGAUCUCAGCGCUGAGGCUUCUCCUCUUCCUCCCGCCCCCCGCCUCCUUCCUCUCCUUGCGGGUCUCCUCCGUCUUCUCCCCUCCACGCUGAUUUGCUUCCCGCUCGUCUUCCCUCUCCAUGCAGCUCCCGCAACGCCCCCUGCGCCCGUCGUGGCGCCCACGCGGCGGUCAGCACCGGGCCGACUGCGCCCGCCUGAGAGGAACACGAGGGAGGACGUCCCCCAGCCGGAGAAGCGCCCUCACACCUCGCUCGCUCUGUCUCUCGCUCUGUCUCUGCCCAGAGCCCGGUUUGAAGGAGACACAGUGCGAUGGCUCCACCUGAGGGGCUCAGCCGCCAAGCCAGUCCCCCCGCACCAGGACUGGACACCAGCGCGGGGGGGGAACCGAACGUCUGGCAGCUCGCGGCGCGCGAACCCACACCUGUCGUUUGAGAACUGCCGCGUGCCUGCUGCUUUACAGGCUCAGCACGUUCUUCUGCAAAGUGGAAGCCACUGGUGGUCACACAGAUUGACUGUUCACUUUUCAAGAGUGGGCUGUGCUCCUUUCCCAAGGAGGGCAAGGACAUAACUUACCAAAGGAAAAAUACGGGAGAACCCCCUCGUCUCACAGCUACGUUUCUCUGCGCGAGUUCUCUUAAGGCACAGAGCUACUUUUCGGCAUGUCACAGAGAGCGAACAUGCAAGCAUGGCGUUUACGGCUUUCCCCCAAAAGUGAUCUGUGACUGGAUCCCGAGCAGACCUGAGCCUUAUAGGGCGUCAUAGGCUGUUGCUCUCGUAAAUGUCACGGACAUAAAACGAACUUUGUGGAAGCACCGAGUUCUCAUGAGUACUGAUUCUGCGACCAGGCCCGGCAGCACAGGGAUGGGGGAGGAAUUGUCCGGAUCCUGGAAUAAUCACGGGGCAGCACAGCCUCGCUCUGGGCUUCUGUGUCCUACUUGUUUACAGACUCGUCAUCCGUUCUGCGGAUUGGGCCAGCGAGUUGCCCUGUUGACGGCCAAAGGCACUCAUGGGAAGACUUAAACAACCAAGUGUCACAGCACACGUGGGGUCACUCCGUCCACCAUGAAAGUAGGACCCGUGUCUGCCUCAGGUGUGAGUCUUUGGAUGGAUCUAUUUGUUACUGGAGGUGGUGGG